rnacentral:rRNA from 1 species
CCUACGGGAGGCAGCAGUCGAGAAUCAUUCACAAUGGGGGAAACCCUGAUGGUGCGACGCCGCGUGGGGGAAUGAAGGUUUUCGGAUUGUAAACCCCUGUCAUGUGGGAGCAAAUUAAAAAGAUAGUACCCCACGAGGCAGAGCCGCCUAACGCUGUGCCAGCAGCCGCGGUAAUACAGAGGUCUCAAGCGUUGUUCGGAAUCACGGGGCGAAACGCGUGCGGAGGCUGUUUCGUAAGUCGUGUGGGAAAGGCGCGGGCGCAACCCGCGGACGGCCCAGAAUACUGCGAGACUAGAGUAAUGGAGGGGGAACCGGAUUUCUGGGUGUCGCAGUGAAAUGCG